UCCGUGUCGCACCGCCGAUCUGUCACAGUGCUACUGCGUCACCAUCACGCCAGGGUGCUGCUGUUGAAGUCAUUCCUGCCGCCGCUGCUACUAGGGUUUGUCGCCGUUGAUGAAGCUUCAGCCGCCGCUGAGGAAGGGAGCUCGAACGCCGUCGCUGGGAAGGAGGAUUGGCCGUCACCGAACAGAACGCGACAAUACUGAGAGACAUCACCAUUGUUGACGCUGGAGCUCGACAAGGGCUGUAGCGCCGUCGCCAAACCACCGCGCCAACGUAGCUGUCUCCGGGAAAGUCGUUGGAGCUUGCUGAGGAUAUUGUUCUGGUUCUGAAGCAAUUCAUCCAUGUCAGUGCUCAUUUUUAUCCCCUGUUCUGCCUCUGCCUCUAGGUUCUGUGAGUUGCCGGAGCUCUCUGCCACCGGGAACCAACAUUCGAGCUGCCCAGGAAACCACCAUUAGAACCACUACUGUUUUGAGAUUAUUGUAAAUUACCUUGCCGCCGCCGUUAGUAGAGGUAGCUGCCGGCUCUAUUUGGAGACUGCUGCUAAGUCACCACCGAAGCUAAGAGCAUGUGCUGGGAUCUGAUGGGGCACCGCUGCUGCUGUGGAUUCGUAAUAUUGGGUUUACCGCGUUUAAAUUCUUCAAUUAUGACUAAUUUAGGAACAUGAAUGCUCACAACCCCCACAAACCUCCCUAAACCAAAGAUGCUCAACACUGAUUGAAAGAUAUGAAGAGGAGAUGAAGAAAUCAUGGGAAGAACAACAAACCUCUUCUAUGAAAGUGCUAUUAAAAUAAAUGUUGAGUGUAAAAGAGGAAGUGGAAGAACAAAAAAGUGAGGAGGACAAUCAAGGACGUCUAAACUCAAGUGAAGCAGAAAAUCACAUGAAGGAAAGGCUCAUGGAACAACCAAUUCAGAAGGCUCUGGAUGAAGAUAAAACUCCAAAAAUCACACAGCAACCAUGUCUUGACAUCCAAGAAGUGAAGGCAAUUAACAAAAGCACCAAGAAGAGGAUUGUGACCAAGAUACCAAGGACAACAUUCAAGAGAAGGUCAAUUGCAAACAAUCCUCCCGCUGAUCCAACAAGCAAGCUCAAUCAAGCCAAUUUCAAAAGGAAGCUUGCUGAGAAUAAACCAAGAAAGGGGACAAUAGUUGAAACCUUUCCCCCCUUUAGGUCAUUCUUCUUAACAAAUUGGAAGAAGAGGAAAAAAGUGAAGAACAGGUAGACAGUAGGUACAUUUCUUCUCCUUGCUUUGUUUAAAUUUCAAUAAAUUGACAUAUGAUUACAUUCUAAGUUUGGUGUUGCCAUGUAACACUUUGUUUUCAAUUCCUUUGAAUGAUUGCAUCAAUUUUACAUGGAAGUGACACACUAAGAUUCUAAGUUUGGUGUACCACUUAUUUUUCUAUGCAACUCAUUCAGCAACACCACUUGUCUGGAUAAUCAUAAUGCCCUUUUUGCAGUGAUAUUUUCUCUUUUUUUAGUUGGACAAUAUUAGUCUUCUCUUUGUUUUGGCCAUUUCCUUGUUUUAAUGCUUUCUGUUAUUAACUAUUUUUGUGAAUACAUCACAAAGAGAUCCUCGUUCAUCACAGAUUCUUGGCUUGGUGAUUGUAUUUAAUAUAUAACAGUUUCUUUUGUUUAGUUUUAGUUCAAUUAAAUUGAAUAUGGUUGAAUUCUAAGUUUGGUGUUGCUAUGCAACAAAAUUUGGUUCCAAUGUUUACUAGAUACUUGCAUCAAUUCCAAGUGAAAGUGUCACACUAAGUUUGGUGUGCCACUUAUCUUUUAUGCAAUGUAUCAUGCACACCCUCUUACUUUUGCAACCAUAAUGUUUCUGUUUCUCUGUGCCUUGAUUGUUAUCCUCAAUUUUGCUUGUUUGAAACACAUGUACCACUAACAUUUCAUUGUGUAAGACACUCAUGAUCUAUCUUAGUCCCAUCACCACUGUUCUAAUUGUUGCUUGAGGAUGAGCAAGCAUUCUGAGUUUGGUAUGGGAAGGAGAAGAAUAGGAGGAAAAUGACAACAAUAGAGAAGAUAAAUUACAAGGUUGUAAAGUUCCUUUUCCUCUCAUUUGUUUCCAACAUUUUAAUUUGCAUGAUUGUCUUUAACUUCUCUGUAUGCAUGUGUGGUAUGAAUAAGCAUAGUUUGAAUCUCGAUUUGUAACAUCUUGCUGUGACAUCAUGACUACCAACUUGAGUUUUGUAAAUUCCAAAGCAAUAAAUUAUCAUGAUCAUAAACAAACAAGGAAUUAAAGAAGAAUUUAGCAUGUGCAUACAAGUAUUGGAAGGCUAGUAGGAUUAAUUGUUGCUCAAUUGCAUUAGAUUUUACUUAAUUGAAGUUUUUCAUCUGGAACAUUUUGUGAAAUCUUUUGAAAUCAUGAAAACCUUGAAAAAAGCAAAAAAGAGCAAGAAAAGAAAAAGGGAAAGAAUGAGAAAGCUGAAGGCUCUGAGUACCAAUGGCAAUUUAUUUGUUAAGUACUUGUGGUGUUUAUGUAUCAAGUCAAAUGCUUGAAAACAAAACACUUAGAAGUCAAGGCUAGGCUCAAGUGCAAAAGCACUCCCUCAAAGCUCAAGGUUCUGAGCAUCAAUGAUUAGAGAGUCAAAGAAAAGAAAAAAAAAUGAGCUUAAUGAAAUCCUCUCAUUCAAAUGCUUGUUGUGUUUCUGUAUCAAGUGGUAAUACUUGAAAACAAAGCAUUUAGAAUCGUAGCUUUUUUAUUAACUCAUGGGGCAAAGCAUCCAAAAGGAGAAGCUAAUAAGAAAAAAAAAUCUAAAGCUUGUUUCAAGGAAGAAUUAUAACAAAAAGAUUUCAUAAAUUGAGCUAGAUAGAAGCAUCAAUCAUUUACAUUUCUUUUGUGAUUGUAGCAUGCAUAGAAAACUAGCUAACCAUGAACAUUGAGUUGCUAAUCUUCAUACCUUGGAUUGUCAAUCUUUAUUGCAUGAUUCUUUUCUUGUUUGGGGACAAGCAAGGUUUAAGUUUGGUGUUGUGAUGACAUGUCAUCAUGUCAUGUUUUUCUAUGCUCUUUCAUACAAGAAAUUUAUGAUUUGUGCUCAAAUAUUGCAUUCUUUUGUGCUUAAAUGGUACAUUUCUGGACUUUACUAUGAGUUUAUGUAUUUUUCUAUGAUUUCAGGUAUUUUCUGGCUGAAAUUGAGGGACCUAAGCAAAAAAUUUGAUUCAGAGGCUGAGAAAGGACUAAAGAUGCUGUUGGAUUCUGACCUCUCUGCACUCGAAGUGAAUUUUCUGGAGCUACAGAAGCUCAAUUAGCGCGCUUCCAAUUGCGUUGGAAAGUAGACAUCAUGGGCUUUUUAGCAAUGUAUAAUUGUCCAUACUUUGCUCAAGAUUUGAUGGUCCAAACUAGCGUCCAAAGGCCCACCCAAGACCCUUUUUUGGCGUAAAACGCCAAAACUGGCACCAAAGCAGAAGUUAAACGCCCAAACUGGCACCAAAACUAGCGUUUAAACUCCAAGAAGAGCCUAUGAACAUUAAAGCUUCAAUGCUCAGCCAAAACACACACCAAGUGGGCAUCGGAAGUGGAUUUCUGCACUAUCUACACUUAGUUACUCAUUUUUUGUAAACCUAGUUUACUAGUUUAGUAUAAAUAGCACUUUUUACUAUUGUAUUCACAUCUUUAGAUCAUUUUUGAGACUAUCUUUGGAUCAUUUUUGAUCUCUUGAUCACGUUUUGGGGGCUGGCCAUUCGGCCAUGCCUAGACCUUCAUCACUUAUGUAUUUUCAACGUUGGAGUUUCUACAUCUCAUAAAUUAAGGUGUGGAACUCUGCUGUUCCUCAUGAAUUAAUGCAAAGUACUAUUGUUUUUCUAUUCAA